GACGAACGCUGGCGGCAUGCCUAACACAUGCAAGUCGAGCGAGUUGAUCCCUUCGGGGUGAAGCUAGCGGCGGACGGGUGAGUAACACGUGGGCAACCUGCCUCAUAGAGGGGAAUAGCCUUCCGAAAGGAAGAUUAAUACCGCAUAAGAUUGUAGCUUCGCAUGAAGCAGCAAUUAAAGGAGCAAUCCGCUAUGAGAUGGGCCCGCGGCGCAUUAGCUAGUUGGUGAGGUAACGGCCCACCAAGGCGACGAUGCGUAGCCGACCUGAGAGGGUGAUCGGCCACAUUGGGACUGAGACACGGCCCAGACUCCUACGGGAGGCAGCAGUGGGGAAUAUUGCACAAUGGGGAAACCCUGAUGCAGCAAUGCCGCGUGAGUGAUGACGGCCUUCGGGUUGUAAAGCUCUGUCUUCGGGGACGAUAAUGACGGCACCCGAGGAGGAAGCCACGGCUAACUACGUGCCAGCCGCCGCCGUAA
rnacentral:rRNA from 1 species